ACACCAGAUCCUUAACCAUUAGACCACCAGGGAACUCCUGAUUAAAAAUGUUUUCAACUAUUGAAUUUGGAUUGGAUAAGCAAUGAGGUCCUGUUGUAUAGCACAGGGAACUAUAUCCAGUCACUUGUGAUGGAACAUGAUGGAAGAUAAUACGAGAAAAAGAAUGUAUAUAUAUCUGAAUAACUGGGUCACUUUACUGUACAGCAGAAAUUGACAGAACAUUGUCAAUCAAUUAUAAUAAAUUUUUGUCAUGUUUUCAGAAAAAAAACAAAAAAGAAAAAAAAGAAAAAAAGGAAUUCUCCUGAGGUGCAGUGGUUAAGGAUCCAGCAUAUUCACUACUGUGGUUCAGGUCACUGCCGUGGUGUAGAUUUGAUCCCUGGCCUGGGAACUUUCACAUGUAGUGGGCAUGACCAAAAAAAAAAAUGUUUUAAAAUGGCCUGUUCCUGGUCAAAAGCUCAAGGUCAUGUUUUCUAGUCUAAGAAGUCGGGGGAACACUUCUUAGACUCAGUAUCUCCUAGGGAUGAAGUCACCGUAUAAAAGACUCCAAAUAGUCCUAUAGUAAAGAAACUUGAUUACUCUGCAUACCAGAACUUUCCCACACUUAUUUUUCUGGCUCACAGAAAUCUUUUCUGUGUGGCAGCCCACCAAACACUAUGCCACAGGACAUGUUUUGAGAGACACUUUUACAUAUUGUAGAAGGAGGUACAAUACUAAUAAACUUCCUGACCCCACCAUCGUCCUCCUCCUCUGUCCUGCCCCUCUUACUUUAUGCUUCUCUCCUCCCACCACCACUCUUUCAUCUCUCCUUCCCUAUCUCUCCUUUCUUCCCAUCCACAUUUAUUGACAUAUCAUGAAGAGAUUUGCCCAUCACUGAAAGCAUUUCAACAGUCCCCUUUGCAUUGAAACAAUGCCCCGGGCUGUGUCAAAAGGUGAAAGAAAAAUACUCCGCUUCUGCCCCUCAGGAGCUGUCAGGAGCUCUGAGAUCUGGGCUGGGUGAAUAUGCAGAUUCCUGAUAACAUAAGUAAUCUACAUGCAAGCAAAUGGCUGAACACACGGCCUGUUCCUGGAGGGGGAUGGGGGGUCACCAUAGUGAAUUACAGCUACACCUUUUUCAGUACCAACAACUUGCCAAACACAGCUCAGCAGGGAGAGGAGAAGCACAAUUGUUCUUCCCUGUAUAAUAUAUGCCGUUGUACAGCCAGUGCUGUACUCUCAGAGGGACAUUGUGCAAUUUUCAGAGUUUGUCAUGUGCUGCCUCCCUUGGGAGGCUGCACAAGAAUUAGGAGGUUUGGUGUCUACUGCCAGCUCAGCCGUGGAUUUGCCAUGGGACCUUGAGCAAGCCACUUGGCCUCUCUGGGCCUCAGAGGAGGGUUCCUUAGAUGACCUGGAGUGGCUCUCCCCUUCCUGAUCUGAAAUUCUGUGAUUUGUCUGAUGGGAUUGCUGCUCUUAGUUGAGGUGGCUUGGAGUGAGGUGAGGUGGGAGCUGCAGAGGAGAUAUUUGCCCUCAAAACCUUCUUAAAAACCCCUUGCCAAAUGUCACUUGUAGGGAGGUGGGGACUGACGUUUGUUGGUGGCAGCUGAUUGUGAGUAGGCAUUUGUGUGUCCAUUUCCAUACCUUGGCCCCCCUCCCCAAACACCAGCAUUUCUCUACAUAAUCAGUAUUCGAAAUUAAAGCACAUUUGUUCUGAUGCCAUUUACAUCCUGGGAGUAAGCCUUGGUAUGCUGGUCAAGAGGACAACGUGUGAUACUUACCUGGCACGGGAGAUACCAUAAUCACAAGAGAACAACAUGUGGCAGUCAAAUAACCAUAGCGAUCACUUAUCUAGAAUCCAGAUACAGGCAGGGCUCCAGGAGAACUUAAUGAGCAGCAUCUCACUAAGCCUCACAAUAGUCCUAGAAGGAAGGUCAGUUCGAAUUAUCCCCAUUUUACAAGUAAGACAGUCAAGGCUUGGAGAAUUUCCCUGACCUGCCCAAGGUCACAUUGGUGACUGGAGGAGUCAGCUUUCAAACCUAGUCAGGCUGACUCCAGAGCUCUUGAUGAGCAUGCUUCUCUUUUAAUUGGAUAAAAUAGGUGCUCUGGAAAGGAAUCAGUUAUGGAGAGGGGAGGGAUGGAAGGAAGGAAACAGAGCCCCUUGCCCAGGCUGAGUGAGCCAUGGGCUUGGCAGACGUUCUCUGUCAUGUGCUGGUUGUAUGUAGAAGCAUCGGAUGCAGCAGAGACCAGGGUCCCCCGCACAGCUUUUGUCACGCUCUGCCACCUUUUGAAAAUUCUAUUCUCUGGGAGGCUGGUGGGAGCAAAGGGGAAGGGCUUCUGCUAUGGCCACAUCAGGAAGCUUAUUCCUGUGCUGCCUGUACGCAUGACUGGCCAAGAGCUAAACCCUGGAAGAUGAGGCACUUCCUAUCCUCCUUUCAGGACCCUUGUCCCUCUCUGUCCCUUCAUGCUGACACUCAGCCCAUCAACCUGCCAUCCUCAGUAGUUUCCAGUGCUCCAGAUCUUUCCAUCCUAAUUCCUCCAUUUAAAAUCCUACUUCUAUCACUGAAAAAUAUAACAAUAGCAGUUGCUAACAUUUAUUGAUCAUUUUUUAUGUGUAGGGCUCUGUUGCCACCAUUUACAAGCAGCAUCCCAUUUAAUUCUUAUGGUCCUAUGGGCAGGCACUCUUAUUGUGUCCAUUUGACAGUGGAAGUCACUCAAGUUCAGAGUGGUUAACUUGUCCAAGGUCAACCAAUCAGCAAAUGGUGGAGAAGGACUCAUACCCAGGUCUUUCUAAUACCAAAACUUAUGCUCGUGUCCUUCUCUAGUAGUCUAUAUUACCUCACAAACACUAUGUCAAUAACCAGGAUCCCCAUGUGGCAGUCAAAUAACCAUAGCGAUCACUUAUGGUUGGAUGUUACUUUCCUAUACAAGGUACACAUGAUAAGAUUCUUCAGGUUUUUUAAAAAGUAUCUGGACAGAACUAUAAUUCAAGAAAUACAUGAUGCCCCUAUGUUCACUGCAGCACUAUUCACAAUAGCCAAGACAUGGAAACAACCUAAAUGUCCAUCAACAGAUGAACAGAUUAAGAUGUGGUACAUAUACACAGUGGAAUACUACCCGGCCAUACAAUAGAAUUAAAGAAUGCCAUUUGCAGCAACAUGGAUGCAACUAUAGAUUAUCAUAAUAAGUGAAGUAAAUCAGAAAGUGAAAGACAAAUACUAUAUGAGAUUACUUGUAUGUGGAAUCUAAAAUAUGGUGAAAAUGAACCUAUAUGCAAAACAGAAACAGACAGACAUAGAGAACAGGCUUGCGGUUGCCAAGGGGGAGGGAGUGGGAUGGAUUAGGCGUUUGGGGUUCGUGGAUGCAAACUAUUACAUUUAGAAUGGAUAAACAACAAGGUCCUACUGUAUAGUACAGGAAACUAUGUAUUAUCUCUUGGGCUAGAACGUGAUGGAAUAUAGUAUGAGAAAAAGAAUGUGUGUGUGUGUGUGUGUGUGUGUGUGUGUGUGUGUAUGACUGGGUCACUAUGCUGUACAGCAGAAAUUGGCACAACACUGUAAAUCCACUAUACUUUAAUAAAAAAAAGACCCUCUCUCAUCUUUUCUCCAUUCCUUCCUUCUACUCAUCUCAUACAAAUUUAGCACAUUUUCCUAGUUGCCUCCAGAGUUUACCUUCACAUAUGAUGCUCACUGUGCCUAGCUUGGUUAAUUCAAACUUUGAGUCCUGCUAAAUUUUCUUAAUCUUGCCCUGAUAUUCUUUCUUUUGCUCUUUAAUAUUUUUUUCUCUCUCAGCAAGAAUGGCCUGGCAUCUGCCCUCACCAUUAUCUUACUGGCUUCUCUUCUUCCUCGUCACCACUCGCUCACAGGAUGGACUCAUUUGCUGUCAUGUUAUCCUUGCAAGUUGGGCAGCACCAUUUUUAUUGAGCCCAUUUGAUAGAUGAGAAAACUGAAGCUCAACUGACUUAAGGGACUUGCAAGGGAUCACACAGUCUCUGCUCCAAUUGGAAGGUCUUCCCUAGUGCUAAUAGCUACAAGCAAAAGUAGGUUUUAAGAGUGCCUGAGAUAUGUGGGGGCUUCUAAAAUAUAAUUUCGACUUAAAAAUCACACCAUUUUCUGGGUGUUUUUUGCUAAAGCACCAGAACUAGAAUGGAAUAAGCCGAGUUAGAGGCCUCUAACGAGCCUCAGAUUUUCUAUUCAACUAGGAGAAGAUGAGUGUGAUACUUUAGGCAUCAAGCAAAUACAGUGAAGUAAAUCACCUGCCACUCUGAGCCAAAGCCGGGAUGAGACUUAGUAGCUUUUAAAGAAAAUGAUCUUCUUAUUUCUGGGCUCAAUCAUCCUAAUACCCUAACGAAUGCAAAUAUUAAAGGAAAAUACAUGGCUAACAAUAUACAGAACUUGGUGCUGUGAAGAAUGACCUGUUUUGGGAAGGGCUCUAACUUUUUCUCAGUACUUAGCAUCAAGUAGCAAUUUCAGUUCUCCAUAUGGCAAAAGGGCUAGUAAGUAGGAAAUUUAAGGAUAGUUUGGGCUUAGGGGAAAAAGAGCAUCUUUUUCUCCUAGAUACCAGACACACCUUCCUAGUCAGAUUUCUGCAUUUAAGACUUUGUUAGAAUUCUGCCCAUAUUUUCAGUACCUGGCCUAUUGUUCAGCAGAUGGCAGAGGUUUAAUAAAUGAUGGCUGUCUAGGUGGAUUUGGGCAGCUAUUGUGUAUUGAUUGCUUGUCCUGGACAAUCAUUCAGUAUGCUAGCCUAUGCUGUUCUUAUCAGGGACAACAUAGAGCCAAUAUGGCCCAAACUCUAGAUGGAGUAAGUCACUUUAC
rnacentral:lncRNA from 1 species